CGAUGUAGAAGAAGUUGAGAAACAAGGAAACGCCUUGGGUAUACCUCCUAAUAUGUCUGAUGCCCACACGAUCAACGGAAAGCCAGGGCCUCUUUUCCCAUGUUCUGAGAAACGUAAGAUUGACAUUGGCUGCAGUAUUUCAAUCUUGUAUAUGAGGAAAAAUAUUGGAAAGCCAGGACCUCUUUUCCCAUGUUCUGAGAAACGUAAGACUGACAUUGACUGGUGUAUUUCAACCUUGUAUAUGAGGAAAAAUAUGGUUGUUAGAGUGUUUUGACUCCAAUAUCACUUAAUAUUUGCAUAUCUUUUUCAGAUACUUUUGCCAUGGAAGUUGAAAAAGGGAAGACAUACCUGUUGAGAAUCGUCAAUGCUGCUCUCAAUGAUGAGCUGUUUUUUGCCCUGGCUAAUCAUACCUUCAC
rnacentral:lncRNA from 1 species